GCUCUAGGAUGCUGUAUCCUGACAUGCUUCUGUUCUCUCACCUGAAUCAGGUCUUGAAGGAAGACAAGUGUUCUGGGAGGUGACACAUAUGGAGAUGACACAUGCCCAGCGCAGGGUUCAGCUUGUAUGAGUGCUCUGAGGUCAAGAUGGCUACUGUGUAGAAGCAGAGCUCUUCUCCUCUCUACUGACCCAGGAAGAGUACCUCAAAUAGACAAAACAAAAAUCAAAUGAGUGAAGGAGUUACACGGAAGUACACAGCACAGAAGGAAACUUAGAUUCCUGCCAAGAAGGAAGCAGGAGAUCAGAGUCAGAGGCUGACCACUCUACUGUCCUCAAUAAGGGUACCAGGCUAGAAUUCUAUUUGUCCAUCUUAUGCCCACUUAUUUCCUGAAACACAACAAUAUUAAAAAGAGAACAAUUAAUAACCCUAUGGUGGCAUCUCAGUGUUUAAGUGAAAGGAAGUGUCUAUUUAUGCUACAAACUUCAUUGUUGAUUUAUUUUAAGAAAUUGCUACAGCAAGCCCAACCUUCAAUAACCUGAUCAGUCAGAAGCUAAUUGCAUUGAGGCAAGAACUUCUACCGGCAGGCUCAGAUGAUGGUUAGCAUCUUUUUUUUUUUAAAUAAAGCAUUUUUAAAAUGAAGGCA
rnacentral:lncRNA from 1 species